GGGGUCAGCCUCUAUAAAGGAUGCUAUGGAACAGGUACAUUUUACCAUGUACCCCAUAUAAUGUACUUACAGAGUUGUUUCUCUCUAGGGAUUGCCCUGCUACAGAAAAAGUAAUAGCCUUUGACGUACGGGUUUGUGAGGUGUAUUAAAAGCAUGAGUUAGCCGCUCUCUAAUAUCUCUGGAGAUCCUAAUAUCUGACAACAAAUCCUCAUCUGGACGGCACAGAACCUGUAAAACUCAGUGGAGGAACGCAGAGCCUUUUCUUCCUGAAAAGAUCCAAACAAGAAAUGGAUUCUCUCUAAACCCAACACUGCAAUUUUGGGAAAGGCGUAUUUACAAACACCUUGAGUAAUCACAGAUGCCCUCCACCACAUCCCAGCUCCUUUUCACAAAAUCUCUCACACGGCAUCCAAGCGAUUCAAUGCUUAAGAGCAGUUGCCCCAGUUGUCCCUCGCCUUUCAGGCAACCAACUGCCUGCUAAGAUGCAAAGGGCCCAGGAAAUUCAAAGGGCUUGAUAUGCGCUGGCCAGUGUAUAGACAACGCCUUCUAGUCUGUGCUUUGUUCUCAAGGGGAACAGUUUUAUUUUAUUCUCAUGACAGAUUAUUUUGGAUUUCAAAGGAAGAUGAACACUUGGGUUGCCUGCACGGCAGACAAUGACUUCCAGGACCACAACUACUCUUUCCUCCCUGCCAGCAUCUUCAUAAUGCCAAAUGGGACAGAGAGACAUAAAAUUUCAAUUACAUGCGAUGAAAAAAGAAUAUGUUUCCAAUUAGGUAACAGUGACCACAGAGCUGUUUCCACCAGAUUUGGUGUGAAUUUUGCUGGAGGAUGAGAAGCUGACUGAAAUAUCAAAUAUGUAUUCUGAAACGUAUUUAGGCUCUUUUCCUUAAACCUGUCUCCUUCCAGAAGCCCUAAGCGGCAAAUAAACUUUCCAUAUCCUGAAGAGGUCA
rnacentral:lncRNA from 1 species